AGUAAAUUGGUUAAGUUAGAAAGGGCGCACGGUGGAUGCCUUGGCACUAGGAGCCGAAGAAGGACGGGACUAACACCGAUAUGCUUUGGGGAGCUGUACGUAAGCGUUGAUCCAGAGAUUUCCGAAUGGGGGAACCCACUAUCUUUAGUCGGAUAGUAUCCUUACGUGAAUACAUAGCGUGAGGAAGGCAGACCCAGGGAACUGAAACAUCUAAGUACCUGGAGGAAGAGAAAGAAAAAUCGAUUUCCUGAGUAGCGGCGAGCGAAACGGAAAGAGCCCAAACCAAGAAGCUUGCUUCUUGGGGUUGUAGGACACUCUAUACGGAGUUACAAAAGAAAGUUAUAAAUGAAGCGGUCUGGAAAGGCCCGCCAAAGACGGUAACAGCCCGGUAGUUGAAAUGGCUUUCCCUCCAGAGUGGAUCCUGAGUACGGCGGAACACGUGAAAUUCCGUCGGAAUCCGGGAGGACCAUCUCCCAAGGCUAAAUACUCCCUAGUGACCGAUAGUGAACCAGUACCGUGAGGGAAAGGUGAAAAGCACCCCGGAAGGGGAGUGAAACAGUUCCUGAAACCGUGU
rnacentral:rRNA from 2 species